CAGCAGGCGCGCAAAUUACCCACUCCCGGCACGGGGAGGUAGUGACGAAAAAUAACGAUACGGGACUCAUCCGAGGCCCCGUAAUCGGAAUGAGUAUACUCUAAAUCCUUAUACGAGUAUCAAUUGGAGGGCAAGUCUGGUGCCAGCAGCCGCGGUAAUUCCAGCUCCAAUAGCGUAUAUUAAAGUUGUUGCGGUUAAAAAGCUCGUAGUUGGAUCUGUGUCCCGCGCCGUCGGUUCACCGCCUGUCGGUGUUCAACUGGCGUGUUUGCGGGACGUCCUGCCGGUGGCGGUCCGGUUCCCGGAGGGUACGUAGGGGUCGUCCUUGCUCAGCUUGCGUCGUCCCCGAAGGCCUUCCCGGUGUUUCCGGCCGCCUUUUCGAUCCCGUCGCGGUGCUCUUCACCGAGUGUCGAGGCGGGCCGGCACGUUUACUUUGAACAAAUUAGAGUGCUUUAAGCAGGCCCUGUCCCGCCUGUAUGUCGUGUGCAUGGAAUAAUGGAAUAGGACCUCGGUUCUAUUUUGUUGGUUUUCGGAAUCUGAGGUAAUGAUCAAUGGGGACAGGCGGGGGCAUUCGUAUUGCGACGUUAGAGGUGAAAUUCUUGGAUCGUCGCAAGACGGACCGAAGCGAAAGCAUUUGCCAAGUAUGUUCUCGUCGAUCAAGAACGAAAGUUAGAGGUUCGAAGGCGAUCAGAUACCGCCCUAGUUCUAACCAUAAACUAUGCCUGCCAGCGAUCCGCCGAAGUUCCUCCGAUGACUCGGCGGGCAGCUUCCGGGAAACCAGAGCUUUUGGGUUCCGGGGGAAGUAUGGUUGCAAAGCUGAAACUUAAAGGAAUUGACGGAAGGGCACCACCAGGAGUGGAGCCUGCGGCUUAAUUUGACUCAACACGGGAAAACUCACCAGGCCCGGACACCGGAAGGAUUGACAGAUUGAGAGCUCUUUCUUGAUUCGGUGGGUGGUGGUGCAUGGCCGUUCUUAGUUGGUGGAGCGAUUUGUCUGGUUAAUUCCGAUAACGAACGAGACUCUAGCCUACUAACUAGGCGUACCCGGUAUCCACAAUCGUGCUACCGGCGAUCAAAUUUCUUCUUAGAGGGACAGGCGGCUUCUAGCCGCACGAGACUGAGCAAUAACAGGUCUGUGAUGCCCUUAGAUGUCCUGGGCCGCACGCGCGCUACACUGAAGGAAUCAGCGUGUCUUCCCUGUCCGAAAGGACCGGGUAACCCGCUGAACCUCCUUUGUGCUAGGGAUUGGGGCUUGCAAUUGUUCCCCAUGAACGAGGAAUUCCCAGUAAGCGCGAGUCAUAAGCUCGCGUUGAUUACGUCCCUGCCCUUUGUACACACCGCCCGUCGCUACUACCGAUUGAAUGAUUUAGUGAGGUCUUCGGACUGGUGCGCGGAGGCAGCUCCCGCUGUCUCCGAUGUUGCCGGAAAGAUGACCAAACUUGAUCAUUUAGAGGAAGUAAAAGUCGUAACAAGGUUUCCGUAGGUGAAC
rnacentral:rRNA from 1 species